UUCCUGUGAUUGAGUUCACUAAAUAGAAAACAGGAACAUGUACACCCCAUUCUAAAUGACUGAGAAAGAAAUGGAUAAACAAGACCAUAUUUAGCAAAGCAUUUUAAUUUGGGGAAGAAACUGAACAAAGAAAAGAAAAAGAACAUUAAUAAUGCUGAACUUCAGUGAACUACAUUUAUUAGCAUCCAUGUUGUUCUCCCAGUUAAUAUAGAGAUAUCUUGUAUUAUACAGAAUAACUGUCACCCAUGUUUCCAUUUAUGACAACAUUCUGAAAAUAUUCCGAUUUGCUCAAAGCAGAGAUCAUCGAUGCCAGCUGAUUGAGUGCACUAACCUUCCCAGAUCUAUACAUGUGCAUGCUUGUAUAUGUAUAAAUGUAUACAGUGGUCACACCUCUGAGACUUUUUGGCUGCUGGUCAUCAACGGAUGAAACAAGGUUAAAUAAAUCACAAGCACCAUUCUACUGGAGUCAAGGUUACAGCAAAGAAAGAAGGAGUUGGUGAAGAUUGAGGAUGUAGACAGCUGCCUAUCCCACUUCUUCUGAAGGUGCCGAACAAUAGACGCUACAGGUAGCUCUGGAUAUUUGAUUCAGCUCUUGCAGCAAUGAGAAAGAAGGCACAACAAGGAGAUCUUCUGGAAUACUAGCAGAAGUAUGAUGAAAUGUGGUGGUUCCAAAUCUCUUUGAUGUCAUGCAUCAUUGCUUCUUGUAAUGACACAUCGUUUGGUUGACAUUGCUGGGGAAUGAAGUAUUCCACAUAAACACGUU